rnacentral:rRNA from 1 species
UACGUAGGGGGCUAGCGUUGUCCGGAAUCAUUGGGCGUAAAGAGCGUGUAGGCGGCCCGGUAAGUCCGCUGUGAAAGUCGGGGGCUCAACCCUCGGAUGCCGAUCGAUACUGUCGGGCUAGAGUCCGGAAGAGGCGAGUGGAAUUCCUGGUGUAGCGGUGAAAUGCGCAGAUAUCAGGAGGAACACCAAUGGCGAAGGCAGCUCGCUGGGACGGUACUGACGCUGAGGCGCGAAAGCGUGGGGAGCAAACAGG